AGUUGGCUGGUUCAAGCUCGUUCUACUGAGCGUUUCUUGCAUUUUAAAAAUGCUUAAACCGCUGGCAACUUUCUUCUACCCAGCACAUUCUCUCAUGGAAUGGCAGAGCAAGACCAACUUUACCCGCCUCUCCUCCGUGUCUCCCAUACGACAUGAGGACGUAAAUCAAGAUCUGGAUUUUCAUCUGGUAUUGGAUUCCUUCUGCCCGGAAGACUCCUUUGACGUUUCUGUAGUGUGGGUCAGCUGGUAGUGAAUUCGGUCAGCUUAUGCAUAAGAAGUUAAAAGCAAGAUCUGAUCCCUGGCGUUUUCCAGGAACUCAAAAGAGGUGUAGGAGGAGAGAAGCUCAAUUAUCACCCUGGUCUCCUGGAGUAUCCCAGGCACAGUCCCAGGAGUUCAGCUUUUCAUACUCGAGUUCCUGGGUCCUGAAGGCCUUUUUGGGGAAAGUACUGAUGUUCGUGUCAAGGUUGGGAAGAAAGGGUUUGGGAGGAACCAAGCAACAGGGAGGCAAAGAGAAGACAUCAACAAGCGAGGCAAGAACUUUCCACAGGCUCACACUGGAUACAGGACCAGAGACAAGAAGCUGGCGAAGCCUAUAUGGGUUCCCGAUGUCACAUCGCAGCUACCGCAUUGGAGGGUUAAGAGCCGCUGACAAAUCUCUUUCGGGAAGGGAAGAAGAGUUCCAAACAAAAGAUCUACUACCCUGAGAAGCGGUGAAGUGCUCCUGGGGCCCACCAAGGCCACACAAGUCAAGGAGUGGAUGGCCUUGCCCCAGCUAUGGCUCAGAUCACCUUUGCAGGAUGACAUCUUGUUGGGAGAUGGUCAUCAGAGACAGGGCCAUGGAAGACGCUGUCAGGAGGAGGCACAGAGGAAAGGCUAUGGGAGCACAAAGCAAGAAAGUGGCCUUCUGCAAGCCAGGAAGAGAGGCCUCCCCAGAAACCAACUCUACCAGCACAUCGAUCUUGGACUUUUGGCCUCUAGAACAUUGAGAAAAUAAAAGUCUGCUGUUAAACCA
rnacentral:lncRNA from 1 species